UACCACUAUCGCUGUAUCUAUUUUGAAUAAGCAGUUACAUCCUCCGCGCAAAAAUUAUAUGAUAUUAGACACCAACACCGCCAAUAGCUGUCUAACAACCGUUCAUGGUCAUUGUGCCAUAAAUGGCAAACGAAACGAAAUUGAAAUUAAGCAAAUGAGUGGGAAACCAGACGCUGAAGCAGCCAAGGAGAAGAACACCGAGGCAGCAGCAGCGUCAAAAGCACGGCAGCAACAUCAGCAAUCGCAACGUCGGAAAACGAGUUGAUGAAGUCGAGGUCCAAAAGCCGAAUCCAAAUCCGAAUCCACUAGACGAAGGCGGAUGCGCACCUAGAAGCCAAAUGAGGAACUCUAGCGGAUGCUGUGCCUCUCCAGCUGGCCCAAAAUCCAACAACUUCAGCGGCGUCGUUGAUCAGCGCACAAUGCACACUGGAAAAUAAAAUAUUUCCGAAUUUAUUUCAAUAUAGCAAAAUGAGCGCUUGUAAUGAGUAUGUUAAUAUUACAAGGAACUGCACUCUUUCUUCUCUCUGUGCAUGGGCCACAGUAACCGUGAGUUAACCGCAUUGGGUUGGCGGUUGGUGCUGGCCCACAUGUCCCACGCUUCCAUUUACAUACUCACACAGGCGCACGUAUCAAAUCCAAGCAGCUAACGGUAACUUUACGCAAUCCCAAGACAAGAAUGCAGCGGAAAGGAGAGAAAUCAGAGAGAUACGCGAAAGAGCGACGGAGAAAGGGUUUCUUUCAAAUCAACGGGUAUCAUAAAAAUAAAUAAAAUACAAAUGUG